UGGGGAAUAUUGCACAAUGGGCGCAAGCCUGAUGCAGCCAUGCCGCGUGUAUGAAGAAGGCCUUCGGGUUGUAAAGUACUUUCAGCGGGGAGGAAGGGAGUAAAGUUAUUACCUUUGCUCAUUGACGUUACCCGCAGAAGAAGCACCGGCUAACUCCGUGCCAGCAGCCGCGGUAAUACGGAGGGUGCAAGCGUUAAUCGGAAUUACUGGGCGUAAAGCGCACGCAGGCGGUUUGUUAAGUCAGAUGUGAAAUCCUCGGGCUCAACCUGGGAACUGCAUCUGAUACUGGCAAGCUUGAGUCUCGUAGAGGGGGGUAGAAUUCCAGGUGUAGCGGUGAAAUGCGUAGAGAUCUGGAGGAAUACCGGUGGCGAAGGCGGCCCCCUGGACGAAGACUGACGCUCAGGUGCGAAAGCGUGGGGAGCAAACAGG
rnacentral:rRNA from 1 species